rnacentral:rRNA from 1 species
ACUCCUACGGGAGGCAGCAGUGGGGAAUAUUGCACAAUGGGCGCAAGCCUGAUGCAGCCAUGCCGCGUGUGUGAAGAAGGCCUUCGGGUUGUAAAGCACUUUCAGUCGUGAGGAAGGUAGUGUAGUUAAUAGCUGCAUUAUUUGUACGUUAGCGACAGAAGAAGCACCGGCUAACUCCGUGCCAGCAGCCGCGGUAAUACGGAGGGUGCGAGCGUUAAUCGGAAUUACUGGGCGUAAAGCGCAUGCAGGUGGUUUGUUAAGUCAGAUGUGAAAGCCCGGGGCUCAACCUCGGAAUAGCAUUUGAAACUGGCAGACUAGAGUACUGUAGAGGGGGUAGAAUUUCAGGUGUAGCGGUGAAAUGCGUAGAGAUCUGAAGGAAUACCGGUGGCGAAGGCGGCCCCUGGACAGAUACUGACACUCAGAUGCGAAAGCGUGGGAGCAAACAGGAUUAGAUACCCCUGGUAGCGACUGA